rnacentral:rRNA from 1 species
UGGGGAAUAUUGCACAAUGGGCGGAAGCCUGAUGCAGCAACGCCGCGUGAGGGACGACGGCCUUCGGGUUGUAAACCUCUUUUAGCAGGGAAGAAGCGAAAGUGACGGUACCUGCAGAAAAAGCGCCGGCUAACUACGUGCCAGCAGCCGCGGUAAUACGUAGGGCGCAAGCGUUAUCCGGAAUUAUUGGGCGUAAAGAGCUCGUAGGCGGUUUGUCGCGUCUGCUGUGAAAUCCCGAGGCUCAACCUCGGGCCUGCAGUGGGUACGGGCAGACUAGAGUGCGGUAGGGGAGAUUGGAAUUCCUGGUGUAGCGGUGGAAUGCGCAGAUAUCAGGAGGAACACCGAUGGCGAAGGCAGAUCUCUGGGCCGUAACUGACGCUGAGGAGCGAAAGGGUGGGGAGCAAACAG